CCCUUAGAUGUCCUGGGCGGCCCGCGCGCUACAAUGUCAGCUACUGAAGGUUAAUGCUUUGAAAGAGAGCGCGCUCUCCUUUUAAUUGCUCGCAUGCUGGGAUAAAUGAAUGCAAUUUUGUUUUGAACGAGGAAUUCCUAGUAGCCAUGUUUCACUAGAAGAUGGCGAAUGCGUCCCUGCCCUUUGUACACACCGCCCGUCGUUCCUACCGAUGAGCGUUUUGGCGAAGACGGUUUGAGUAGCUGCGUAAUUUCGUGUUGUUGACUCCGGCAGUUUGAGCCUUCACGUUUAGAGGAAGGAGAAGUCGUAACA
rnacentral:rRNA from 1 species